GCGGAUGUGGUGGAACUGGUAGACAUGCUAGACUUAGGAUCUAGUGCUUCACGGCGUGCAGGUUCGAUUCCUGUCAUCCGCAC
rnacentral:tRNA from 1 species